rnacentral:rRNA from 1 species
UUAACACAUGCAAGUCGAACGGACCCUUUCGGGGGUUAGUGGCGGACGGGUGAGUAACACGUGAGAAUCUGCCCAUAGGACGGGGACAACAGUGGGAAACUGCUGCUAAUACCGGAUGAGCCGAGAGGUAAAACAUUUAUGGCCUAUGGAGGAGCUCGCGACUGAUUAGCUAGUUGGUGGGGUAAAGGCCUACCAAGGCGACGAUCAGUAGCUGGUCUGAGAGGAUGAUCAGCAACACUGGGACUGAGACACGGCCCAGACUCCUACGGGAGGCAGCAGUGGGGAAUCUUGGACAAUGGGGGCAACCCUGAUCCAGCCAUGCCGCGUGAGUGAUGAAGGCCUUAGGGUCGUAAAGCUCUUUCGCCUGUGAAGAUAAUGACGGUAGCAGGUAAAGAAACCCCGGCUAACUCCGUGCCAGCAGCCGCGGUAAUACGGAGGGGGUUAGCGUUGUUCGGAAUUACUGGGCGUAAAGCGCACGUAGGCGGACCAGAAAGUUGGGGGUGAAAUCCCGGGGCUCAACCCCGGAACUGCCUCCAAAACUAUUGGUCUAGAGUUCGAGAGAGGUGAGUGGAAUUCCAAGUGUAGAGGUGAAAUUCGUAG